UACCUCUUUAAAGUAGUCCCGUGAGGCUACAAAGAGGCUCACGAAUCCUGUUUUUGCGGGAGAAGUGUAGACCUCUUUGCCUUAAGCGGAGAGGUCUUUUUCAU
rfam:Bacillus krulwichiae strain AM31D, complete genome.